GAGAGUCAAAUGAAUCGACAGAUUCAUGUUUGGUUUGGGAAGGGAUAAUGGAAGUUUUAAAAUGAACGGAAAGAUAAUCUACUUAGAU
rnacentral:ncRNA from 1 species